AGAAUCAACGCUGGCGGCGUGCCUAACACAUGCAAGUCGAACGAGAAAGUGGGAGCAAUCCCACGAGUAAAGUGGCGCACGGGUGAGUAACACGUGACUAACCUACCCUUGAGUGGGGGAUAACCUAGGGAAACCUGGGCUAAUACCGCAUAAUACCUACGGGUCAAAGGAGCAAUUCGCUUAAGGAGGGGGUCGCGGCAGAUUAGUUAGUUGGCGGGGUAAUGGCCCACCAAGACAGUGAUCUGUAUCCGGCCUGAGAGGGCGCACGGACACACUGGAACUGAAACACGGUCCAGACUCCUACGGGAGGCAGCAGUGGGGAAUUUUGCGCAAUGGGGGAAACCCUGACGCAGCAACGCCGCGUGGAGGAUGAAGCCCCUUGGGCGUAAACUCCUUUCGAUCGGGAAGAUAAUGACGGUACCGGAAGAAGAAGCCCCGGCUAACUUCGUGCCAGCAGCCGC
rnacentral:rRNA from 1 species